AGGAUCAAGAUCAAGCUUGGGGUAGGGCACUGAAUGAACGAUGCCCUUUAUACUGUCUCACUGGUCAGCCAGUAGAAGCUCUGGAUUCUUAAAUAGUUCGGCCUUUCCAGGUAUAGAAGACUGCAGCUGACUGCAAUUAUUUUUACCCUGCUCAAAAAUGUGAUUGUAUUUCCCAAGAUGUCUGAAACUGAAUCCACUACGAAAGUGAUACUGAAGAUGGUGGAACUGCAAAAGUAAAACAAACUCUUUAAAGGGCAUUUGCGGCCUUCCUGGAAACUGACUCUAUCAACAAGUGACCCUUUCUUCUAAGUAAAUUUGCAUAGCAUUCCACUGAGGCUGGAUUUUCAUGGAAGGAAGGAAGGAAGGAGGGAAGGAAACUUUAUUAAACUAAAAGAGUGGUAUCUAGUCAGUUCAGUCCUGGUUAUGCAAACCAGUUGUUACUUUUUUGCUAUACCAUUCAGCGCUGCCAAUCAUCCAACAUCCACAUGGGGGCUGCAUGAACAUCUGUCAGACUGUCCUGCCCACAUAGCCCAGGCCCAUCUUUCUUCAGGACAGUCACAAAGAUCACUAUGGCGGCCCCAUGAGCACCAGAUCAAAUCUUGGGCUUUGCAAGCCUCUCCCUGCAUGGAAGAAGCAGGCAGUUGAGGGAAAGAACAUAUUUGCUCAAUAGGAAAAAAGAGUUCCGAUCCAAUCAGAUACUGGAUGGAUCAGAUGACUUCGGAGGGAGAAAAACAAGUUUAAGUUAGCACAAUGAGGUUUUUUUUCUUCUUUUUCUUCUCCACUUUAUCUGUUGGAGGUAGACCUGGCAAGACAUGUGGCUGAAGUCAUUGGCUGUGUUUGUACGGCAUGUUAAACUUGGUUAUGUGGAUCUGUUGAAUUGAUCAGAUUGUUUGGGCGCUCGUGAACACGAAGUGCAAAGAAACCUAACCAAAGUUAGAGAGAAAGUUACUUUCCUUUAUUUUAUUGUUGAAGGGAGCAUCCUUACUUGCCUGUAUGUAAAGCAGCACUUUGAUCAGAUUUCUGAUAUGCUGCCUUCACAGGCAAGUACCACUAUAUAUUUUUAAAAAAUAUAUAACUAAAUAUCAUCCACAUCAUUAUCUCAAACGUGUUCUGUCU